rnacentral:rRNA from 1 species
UACGAAGGGGGCUAGCGUUGCUCGGAAUCACUGGGCGUAAAGGGUGCGUAGGCGGGUCUUUAAGUCAGGGGUGAAAUCCUGGAGCUCAACUCCAGAACUGCCUUUGAUACUGAAGAUCUUGAGUUCGGGAGAGGUGAGUGGAACUGCGAGUGUAGAGGUGAAAUUCGUAGAUAUUCGCAAGAACACCAGUGGCGAAGGCGGCUUACUGGUCCAUUACUGACGCUGAGGUGCGAAAGCGUGGGGAGCAAACAGG